ensembl:lncRNA
AUGGGCAGGAAGGAGACGCCAGAGGAGGUGGCUGCGACCACCUAGGCAUGGGCCAGUUUGGACUGGUUGGUGGAGCUGGGCUGGAGAGAACUGGUUGGAUCCAGGUAUGUUCUCACCAGCCACUAUUUAAGUCAGGUGGUGAGAGAUAAAGGACUGAACCUAGAAUUUGCCUGAGCAGCUAUAAGCCUGUUUUUCCCUUUGAGAUAAAGGGCACAGGACACAGAGCUUGGCAGAUGGGAGCAGGAACCUAGUUUUGGACAUCUUCAGUUUGAAGUCUAAGUCAAAAGCUGAAUAGCCAGGUGUCUAAUCUGCAUCACAGUUUAAAGGUGACAUAGACUGGAACCUGGGACCCUUUGCUGCCGAGUUGCAAUGCCUGCACCUGGACACAUUUCUCCUAGAGCUACAAAAUACAAAGAAACUCUAUGGGACUAAAAAUAAUUAUGUGCCUGCCCAUUUGGUACAAAUUCUGGACAAAGGAUACAAAUAGACUAAAAAACUCAACUGUCACUUUGAAGAGCCUGGAGCAAAAGCAGGGGGUCAGGAGCAAAAGCAGGGUACUGUGUGCAUAUGCCCUCUGCAUACAACACCACCUAAAGGGCACCUGACACAGUUGGUACUGGAAGUGGUCUGAGAAAGCAGGAGUAAAGAUCGGAAGUGGUUGCGACAUCCCUGGUUGUCCAGUGGUUAAGACUCUGCACCUCCACUGCAGGGAGCACAAGUUCAUUCCCUGGUUGAGGAACUAAGAUCCCACAUGCUGUGCAGCCAAAAUUAAAAAAAAAAAAAAAAGAUGGGAAUUUGUGACUGGUCACUUACCACCUGUCUGGCAAUAAAGACCCCAUUUUGGGUUGUAUGUAGGACAUGGACAGAUCAAGGCCUCAAAAAAGUGAAGUGAAGUGAAG